UUAAGUUAUAUAGGAUACAACUGAAAAACAGAAAUAGUGGCACCACCCAAAUUUGUACUUGAUUGGAGUUUGUGGUAAUAAGCAUUGUGUAUAGGUUUCAUAACAUUUGGCUGAGGUUAAACUCUUAGGUCAGAGAACAGAAACAAAAAAAAUCAGCAAUUUUUCCAUUUUUACAGAGACAUUACUCUUAACAGUAAAAGUGUCACUGUGACACCACCAAAAUUCAAACUUGAUCAGUAUUUUGUAGUAAUAAGCAUUGUGUAGGAGUUUCA
rnacentral:lncRNA from 1 species